rnacentral:tRNA from 1 species
GCCCGAAUAGCUCAGUGGUAGAGCGGCUCCCUCGUAAGGAGCAGGUCCUCGGUUCGAAUCCGAGUUCGGGCU